AUACUCAUUUCUGUAGAUUCUUUUAAAUUUUAAAAAUUAACUGUGUGCUAAUAAACACUGAGUUUAUAAUCAUUCAAAUCGUGUAUACAUUAUUUUGGGACACCCUGUAUAUACAAUGCAAUACUA